CUUUGCACCCUUACCGUUGUUUAUGUAUUAUUUUAAGAAAACGGCGUAAUUUAUUCCGACUACAUUUACGUUACUAAUUAUUGUAUUGCCGAAAGCAGGAAUUCCUGUCUCAUUUCCGCACAACCACUUCCCGUCACAUUCUACAACAAGCUAUUGACGAUUCGCAUAAAUCUGAUGUGACAUAAUGCAUACAGCAAUUAAAAUUUAACCUAUCAAUCACUUUA